GUAAAAAUAGCUCUUGGCCUUUUAUUUAGCAUGUUUAAAGAUGUAUAUCUAUUUAUCAAUAUUGAAUAAAAAGUGGACUUCAAGCAAACCUGUCUGUGUUUUCAAUAAACAAAGCAUUGGUGUUAAUUUAUGUAGUAUUUGCAAAUGCCACUGUCAGCAUGUAUAUCAAAUUACAACUAAAUCCAUGAAGUAAGUGCAAACUAUGAAUGAGAUUCUAUUUAGGGACAAAAUAGUUUGAGCACUUAAAGGCUUAGAACUGAGUCCUUUAGACUCAGGAAAGAUAGCGUACAACAUAAAUCUCCUUGCACUGAAAGUAUGUUAUAGAGUCUAUUAACCAUAUAGUCAAGUUUCUAAACAUUUGUAUUUUUAGGAAAUGUAGAGGAAAAAGAGCUUUAUCCUAUUACUGAAUAGUCUUGUACAUCGAUGCCACCCUCAAAUUCAAAACAAUCAGUGUUGCAUUAUGUAAACAGCUCUGUACCACUUAGAUUGCAAGUGACAGUAUGCUUUAUAAGGUCUAAAGAAGCUUACAUAAGACCAAAUAUUUUCCCAAACAAUCAAAUGCCACUUUGAAUAAGGGCCACAGUAGAGGAGAUGCAAUGGAUAUGUGUAAUGUGUGCUAAAUUUGUGAUUGCCUUGGGCACUACUAAAGCCACACUGGGUAAUUUCACUUGACAGCCAAAAAAGAGGAGCUAAAGAAAUGUGGCAGUUUCACCUCCUGUGUCUAUUCACAAACUCCCAUGGUGACCUCAUUAAUCUUGGGAGAAGAAGCACUCAGAGACUGGGUGAAUAAUGCCAAAAUGACUGCUUGCGAAAAUCAAGACCCAGUCCAUCUGCCUCUGGUUUUCAUUAUGCUUGGUGUUUGGUACUUUGUAAUGGGCUGUGCUAAGGUAUACUAUGUUAUGGUUCAGGGAGAAUGCUGACUCUAUGCUGGUUAGAGCAUCAGCCAAUGGUCCCCAUGCCUGCUGUUUCUAUCAGCUGUUUGAGUGCAAGUUCCAGCUCUCCCACCUCUUUCCAGCUCCUGAUUCUCACCAAGCUGUUGGCAAGAAUGCGAAGGAGGCACACAGAGACAGCCAUUGGGCCUCCCACCAAAGGCAGAAGACAUGUGGGUGGUCAUUUACAUGCUUGGGUAAAUACACUGGAAUUGCUAAUCUUUGACCUACCUCUAAGUAUAAUAGAAAAUGAUUAGGAGUGGAAUGGUUUACUACUGUCUACUUUGUAUUUUCUUCAGUUGGCCAACUGUUUAAUUAGGAAGAACAUUUAGUAACUUUAUAUUUUAGUUCAAUAAAAUUUUACUAUGUGACUUAGAUUGUGUCAGACAAUUCUCUGGUCACUCUGAAAUUUUUUUAUCUCAUUUAAUUCUGAAAGUUUUUAGUAAUACUGAUAUAUUUACACAUAAAAUUAUUAAAUCAAAAUCUUCAUAUCCCAUACUGUGCUUCUCUUAAACUUAUGGAGAAAUCCAUUUUACAAAUAGCGUUAUAUGGCCUUAACAAUAAUGGGGAGAUUGUCUUUGAAAAGUCACGUAGCAUUGUUAAAAUCUUAAUUGGGCAUUGAAAAUUAUAAAAUACCAUUUCACUGACGAACUAUGUGAGCAAAAAAUUUGGAAUUAUGAGAAUUUAAAUAUAAUAGUAGAAUUAAACAUAUACAUACCAAGAUCAGUCUAAAAUCUUGUGAAGAGUGCCCUGAAUCACAGAGUUGUAACUAGAAUGUAGUGCAUACAUUGUUACAUGUGCCAAGCGGAAAUAGGACAUUUCAAGAUAUGAAGAUAGCUGACACUGUCACAUGUGUAAGAGAGCUCUAGAGUAGUAAAGCCUAGAACUGGCCAUAGGUUGACCAUGUUGUUAUCCAUACAUGUGAAAUUAAAAAGACCAGAAGUCAGCCUGUCAGAUUUAAUAUGAGUAGGAGGAACAGAAGGAAAGACAACUAUUACACAUAGUUUGUAUUUUCAAAGGCUUUAGUAGGGAGAAGGAAGAGUUUGGUUUAUAGAGAGAAGACAUCCUUGGGGAAUGGGUACCUUUUACAGCUUUAUAAACAAUUAAGGAUAUUUAUCAUUUGAAAGGACAAAGAACCAUGUCUAGGAUGGCAUUUUAGAACCUGUGUCCCAGAAGCCACAGACAACAGAAAUAAUUCUUUCUAUUUUUACAAUAAGAUAGAGAAUGUUAUAAGGAUAAAAAUGAAGAGUCUCAGUUAUUUUGACAAAUCACGAACGCCAGGCAAAUGAUACAAAUAAUACAUUUGGAAUUGGCAGCUGUUGAGCUGGAGCUUCAGGCAAUGCACAAACUCCUGUUGACAACUUUAGUAAUGAUAGAGAGUGGCCUGAUGAAAAGGAUAAAGGGAUGCUGCAAAUACUUCAGAAAAGUAUGCAGAUUGUAGAUUUUUUUAGAUAUUUCUUUUAUUUUUGAGACUAAAAUAUACUACAUCGUUUAUUAUUUUUAUUUUUCAUCCUUCCAAACUUUACCAUACCCCCUCUUUGCUUUCUUUCAAAUUAAUUGCUUUUUCAUUAACUGUUAUUACAUGCAUAUAUGUUUAUGUAGAUAGAUAUAUAUAUUUCUAUACACAAAGAGCUUAGUCUAUAUAAUGUUACUUAUAUGUGUAUUUUCAGGGCUGACCAUCUGAUAUUGGGUAAUGAAUUAGUGUGUCAUGGGAUAGUGAUAUCAUGGAUCUUGGAGAAGAAUCUAUACCUACCACUUUACUAAGCCCAAAUAAUUCCUAACUACAUUCUAAAUAUUUGUUCUUUUAUCCAUAGAUAAAUGUAGUCUUAUACCUCAUCAAGGAAAUUUCUCUUUGCAUCAGAUAGAGACCAUUAAAGAAACCACAGCCAAUGAAGAUGAGUUAUGAAUGUGUAGAUACUUUUACAAAAUAACUUUCACAAUGUGUAGAUACUUUUACAAAACAACUUUCACACCUAAAGCUCAGGAAAUUC
rnacentral:lncRNA from 1 species